rnacentral:rRNA from 1 species
UACGUAGGUGGCGAGCGUUGUCCGGAUUUACUGGGCGUAAAGAGCGCGCAGGCGGUCGUUCAAGUCGCGUGUGAAAGCCCCCGGCUCAACUGGGGAGGGUCACGCGAUACUGAUCGACUCGAAGGCAGGAGAGGGUAGUGGAAUUCCCGGUGUAGUGGUGAAAUGCGCAGAUAUCAGGAGGAACACCGGUGGCGAAGGCGGUUCUCUGGGAAUGACCUGACGCUGAGGAGCGAAAGUGUGGGGAGCGAACAGG